AUUCACUGUUUCACUAAUAAUUUAUUUUUUUAGUAAAAAAAAAAAUAAUACUCUAGCAAGGAACCAGUAUAUGAACAAGCCCAAACAGUUAUAGUACCCCAAUGAUGUAAAUAGAAAAUAAAUAUAAUUGAGUAAUACUACAGUUUCACUGAAAAAUAAUAAAAUUAGAACUUACAAUUGAACAGCCAAAACAUAAAAUUGUAUAAAAAGCAAAUAUUAGACAUUAGUAAAUUAUUGACUUUUCCUGAAAGAUAAUAACAUAAAUU